GCGACAUUAGCUCAGUUGGUUAGAGCGCCUGCUUGACGUGCAGGAGGUCACAGGUUCGAGUCCUGUAUGGCGCACCA
rnacentral:tRNA from 2 species